CUGUGAUAAGGGGUGAAAGGCUAAACAAACCUGGAAAUAGCUGGCACUCCCCGAAAUGCCUUGAGGGACAGCCUCAUACGCCUAUCAUGGAGGUAGAGCACUGUUUGGACUAGGGGUCUUCACCGGCUACCAAACCCAGGCAAACUGCGAAUGCCGUGACAGAAGGUAUGGGAGUGAGACGGCGGGCGAUAAAGUUCGUCGUCGAGAGGGGAACAGCCCGGACCGACAGCUAAGGUCCCUAAAUGCCGCUGAGUGUGAAAUGAGGUGCUAUUGCGAAGACAGCCAGGAGGUUGGCUUAGAAGCAGCAAUUCCUUAAAAGAGUGCGUAACAGCUCACUGGUCGAGCAAUGGUGCGCAGACAAUGUAACGGGGCUAAGCGGUAUACCGAAGCUUUGGAUUCAUACUUUUAGGGUAUGGAUGGUAGGGGAGCAUUCCAUGGACCGGAGAAGGUACACUGAGAGGUGUGCUGGAGGGGAUGGAAGAGAGAAUGCAGGUAUAAGUACACGAAAAGACGGGUGAGAUUCCCGUCCGCCGAAAACCUAAGGUUUCCUGGGUAAAGGUCAUCUGCCCAGGGUUAGUCGGUCUCUAAGAUGAGGCGGAAGCGCGUAGUCGAUGAGAAUCCGGUUCAUAUUCCGGAACCAUAUAUAAGUUCGAAGGGAUGACGCAUGAGGUGGAGCACUGCCGGCUGACGGAAUAGCCGGUUUACUUAGCGAGCCUAUGAGGUAGCGAGGGAAAACCAGCUACUGAGGUGAGCUAAGGAGGGAGAGAAGCUACGGUGGAACGAAGAGUGCCGAAUCAAGGUGCCAAGAAAGAGUCUCUAAGGACAACUUAUAUAUGACCGUACCGUAAACGGACACACGUAGGUAGGAUGAGAAAUCUAAGGCGCUCGAGAUAACUCGCGUUAAGGAACUCGGCAAAAUGCACACGUAACUUCGGGAGAAGUGUGGCCUGAGCGAUCAGGUUGCAGAUAAUAGGCCCAGGCGACUGUUUACCAAAAACACAGGACUCUGCGAACGCGCAAGCGGAAGUAUAGGGUCUGACGCCUGCCCGGUGCUGGAAGGUUAAGAGGAGGGGUUAGCAGGUAACUGCGAAGCUCUGAAUUGAAGCCCCAGUAAACGGCGGCCGUAACUAUAACGGUCCUAAGGUAGCGAAAUUCCUUGUCGGGUAAGUUCCGACCCGCACGAAUGGUGGAACGAUCUGGGCACUGUCUCGACGCGAGACUCGGUGAAAUUUAAGUACCGGUAAAGAUGCCGGUUACCCGUGGUUAGACGGAAAGACCCCAUGAACCUUUACUGUAGCUUAUCAUUGGGACUUGGCUUUACAUGUGUAGGAUAGGUGGGAGACUGGGAAGCAUGGCCGCUAGGCUGUGUGGAGUCGACGGUGAAAUACCACCCUUGUAAGGCUAGGUUUCUAACUUAGUUUGUAAAGCCAGGCUAGGGACAGUGGUAGGUGGGCAGUUUGACUGGGGCGGUCGCCUCCUAAAAGGUAACGGAGGUGCGCGAAGGUUGCCUUGCGCUGGGUGGAAAUCAGCGCUUAAAGUGUAAAGGCAUAAGGCAGCUUGACUGCGAGUCCGACAGGACGAGCAGGUACGAAAGUAGGUCUUAGUGAUCUGGCGGUAGCGAGUGGAAGCGCCGUCACUUAACGGAUAAAAGGUACUCUGGGGAUAACAGGCUGAUCUUGCCCAAGAGUUCA
rnacentral:rRNA from 1 species